rnacentral:rRNA from 1 species
UACGUAGGGUGCUAGCGUUGUCCGGAUUUAUUGGGCGUAAAGGGCUCGUAGGCGGCGUGUCGCGUCGGGAGUGAAAGCCCGCUUCUUAACGGCGGGUUGGCUUCCGGUACGGGCAUCGCUGGAGUGCGGCAGGGGAGACUGGAAUUCCUGGUGUAGCGGUGGAAUGCGCAGAUAUCAGGAGGAACACCGGUGGCGAAGGCGGGUCUCUGUGCCGUUACUGACGCUGAGGAGCGAAAGCGUGGGGAGCGAACAGG